UACGUAGGGGGCAAGCGUUAUCCGGAUUUACUGGGUGUAAAGGGAGCGUAGACGGCAUGGCAAGUCAGAUGUGAAAGCCCGGGGCUCAACCCCGGGACUGCAUUUGAAACUGUCAGGCUGGAGUGCGGGAGAGGUAAGCGGAAUUCCUAGUGUAGCGGUGAAAUGCGUAGAUAUUAGGAGGAACACCAGUGGCGAAGGCGGCUUACUGGACUGUAACUGACGUUGAGGCUCGAAAGCGUGGGGAGCAAACAGG
rnacentral:rRNA from 1 species